rnacentral:lncRNA from 1 species
CCUGUUCUGAAGGGCUUUGAAGAAAUAGCUCUUCUAUGCUCUCCAUGGAUCUUGGACACAACUCCAUGGCUGCUAGACCAUGGGAAAGCCUGUUACGGCUGGAUCUGACAGUUUCAAGGACGUAGCAUUCUUUUUUCCUCCCUGAAGAAUCCAUCUAAUAAAACCUGGAGAGCUAAAAAGAACAGAUACAGCCUUGUGGCCAUUUCAGCUACUCCUCCAGCACACUGGCAACAAACAUGGCAGCAUCCACCUCCUCUGAAUGAUGAGACGGGGAGAGAGCAAUGUCAUGUGACCAUGAGAUGGUGAUUCUCUUUGGAGACUCCACAGAAGCCCACAGAGGCCAUGAGCGAGAAGCACAAGAUGCCCACAGGAAUGAUGCAGGCAGGGCUGAGGCUCAUGUUAACUGAGCACCUUCUGCUGGGCACCCAGCCAGAGCAACACUUCCUGCUUGAAUGACUUCAUCACGUUAUUAACCCAGAUGCAUGAGACCCUUUGUCUCCUUCAGAGUAACCUGAUUUUGCGGUUCCCUGGGUUC